rnacentral:rRNA from 1 species
GACGAACGCUGGCGGCGUGCCUAAUACAUGCAAGUCGAGCGAAUUUACGAGAGCUUGCUCUCGUAAAUUAGCGGCGGACGGGUGAGUAACACGUGGGCAACCUGCCUAUAAGACUGGGAUAACUUCGGGAAACCGGAGCUAAUACCGGAUAAUUCACAUCUACUCAUGUAGAUGUGCUGAAAGACGGUUUCGGCUGUCACUUAUAGAUGGGCCCGCGGCGCAUUAGCUAGUUGGUGAGGUAACGGCUCACCAAGGCCACGAUGCGUAGCCGACCUGAGAGGGUGAUCGGCCACACUGGGACUGAGACACGGCCCAGACUCCGACGGGAGGCAGCAGUAGGGAAUCUUCCGCAAUGGACGAAAGUCUGACGGAGCAACGCCGCGUGAGUGAUGAAGGUUUUCGGAUCGUAAAACUCUGUUGUUAGGGAAGAACAAGUACCAGAGUAACUGCUGUACCUUGACGGUACCUAACCAGAAAGCCACGGCUAACUACGUGCCAGCCGCCGCCGUAA